UACGUAGGGGGCAAGCGUUGUCCGGAAUCAUUGGGCGUAAAGCGCGUGUAGGCGGCUUGGUAAGUCUGCUCUGAAAGCCCGGGGCUCAACCCCGGGAGGCGGGUGGAUACUGUCAGGCUCGAGUCCGGAAGAGGAGUGUGGAAUUCCUGGUGUAGCGGUGAAAUGCGCAGAUAUCAGGAGGAACACCAAUGGCGAAGGCAGCACUCUGGGACGUGACUGACGCUGAGACG
rnacentral:rRNA from 1 species